UACGGAAGGCAGCAGUGGGGAAUAUUGCACAAUGGGCGAAAGCCUGAUGCAGCUAUGCCGCGUGUAUGAAGAAGGCCUUAGGGUUGUAAAGUACUUUCAUCGGGGAGGAAAAACAAAACUAAUAAUUUUAUUUCUUGACGUUACCCGAAAAAGAAGCACCGGCUAACUCCGUGCCAGCAGCCGCGGUAAUACGGAGGGUGCUAGCGUUAAUCAGAAUUACUGGGCGUAAAGAGCACGUAGGUGGUUUUUUUAAAGUCAGAUGUGAAAUCCCUGGGCUUAACCUAGGAAACUGCAUUUUGAAACUGAAAUACUAGAGUAUCGUAGAGGGAGGUAGAAUUCUAGGUGUAGCGGUGAAAUGCGUAGAUAUCUGGAGGAAUACCUGUGGCGAAAGCGGCCUCCUAAACGAAUACUGACACUGAGGGUGCGAAAAGCGUGGGGAAGCAAAACAGGGAUUAGAUACC
rnacentral:rRNA from 1 species